rnacentral:ncRNA from 2 species
GGUCACGAGUGACAGCGCUGAUGGACCCCGGUCCGCUGUCCGGCAACCCUCCUGCCGUGGUGGGGUGCUCCGGGUGAUGACCGGGCCGCGGACAGCAAGGUCCGUGGCAAGCGCGGAUC